rnacentral:rRNA from 1 species
ACGGCUCAGUAACACGUAGUCAACCUACCCUUGGGACGGGGAAAAUCUCGGGAAACUGAGAAUAAUCCCCGAUAGGUGAGGGACGCUGGGAUGUCCCCUCGCCCAAAGCUCCGGCGCCCAAGGAUGGGACUGCGGCCUAUCAGGCUGUUGGUGGUGUGACGGACCACCAAACCUACGACGGGUACGGGCGAUGGGAGUCGGAGCCCGGAGAUGGGGACUGAGACAAGGCCCCAGGCCCUACGGGGCGCAGCAGGCGCGAAAACUCCGCAAUGCGCGCAAGCGUGACGGGGGGACCCCAAGUGCCGUUGGUCUUUUGAUCGGCGGCUUUUCGGGAGUCUAAGAAGCUCCCAGAAUAAGGGCUGGGUAAGGCUGGUGCCAGCCGCCGCGGUAACACCAGCAGCCCAAGUGGUGGUCGCGAUUAUUGGGCCUAAAGCGCUCGUAGCCGGGCUAGCAAGUCCCUUGUGAAAUCGGGCCGCCCAACGGUUCGGCGUGCAAGGGAUACUGUUGGUCUUGAGGCCGGGAGAGGUCGGAGGUACUCCUGGGGUAGCGGUGAAAUGCUCUAAUCCUGGGGGGACCACCAGUGGCGAAGGCGUCCGACCAGAACGGACCUGACGGUGAGGGGGCGAAGGCUAGGGGAGCGAACGGGAUUAGAUACCCCGGUAGUCCUAGCUGUAAAGCAUGCGGGCCAGGUGUCUAGCGCUCCUCGAGGGCGCUAGGUGCCGGAGGGAAGCCGUUAAGCCCGCCGCCUGGGAAGUACGGCCGCAAGGCUGAAACUUAAAGAAAUUGGCGGGGGAGCACCACAAGGGGUGGAACCUGCGGUUC